AUUGGAAACAUUUUUCCCUUAUAAGAAUGAAGAUAUUUUGGAGAACAUUUAGGUGGAUUUCUAAUGAAUUUAUGGGAAUUAUGUGGUUUAAAAAUGUCUGCAUUCAUUUUCCUCAUUCUCAGUGAAAGGUGGAUUUUUUUUUUUUUUCUUCUAGUUUCAUCAUAGACCAGGAACCCCCAUGGUAAAAACUUUCUCCACCAAAUGGUUACAUAUCCAGUGUGCUUUAUGUAGAUUAAAAAUUGAACUAGCAAAACAAACACUUUUUUUAAUGGAAAACUGUUUUUGCCUCUCAGGACAGUGUUGGCUUUCAGUGAGAACUAUCCUGCCUUUCUUUACCUCAAACCAGAACUGGGGUAAAGCAAAUCCUUCAGGCGUGCCUUCCAGGGCAGCAGCAAUCACUUCCUCCAGAGACUGAGUUCUGGGACUUUACCCUGACGUGUUCUGGAUUUGAACAUCCCCAAGUCUGGAGGCUGCCUGCUGCCUGGUGUGGGCUUAUCUCUGCAGGAGGCGAGCUGAAGUGCUCCGUGCCAUUGCCAUGCCUUUUAAACUUUCAGGAGUGGAGGAUCCGUGUGGCCACGCCAGCAGCAGUGUGUGCAGUGAGAUGUAUUGCUGUGGGUGCAGUGUGAUGCGGCGCUGGGACCUCGCCUAACUCAUCUCCUGGCAUUGUGGAAGUGGGAGAAGAUGGAUGUGCUGCUCCCUCGCCUCUUCCCUCCACGUUUUGUUUGUUGUUCAGAAGACAUAUGGGCAGCCAUGUACACAAACACACACAGAUCUCUCCCUGAAGAAUGAUGUCAUGACAGAUUUUUUGUAUUCAGAGUAAAAUAUUAUAAUGGCACGAUUUCCUUCCUUCAAGCAAGAAAAUGGUUGAGCAGAUCUUCUGUUCUUACGAAAAGCCUCAGUGAAAAAGACGGGGAGGAUUGGCUGAUGUAGCACCAUCCCUCGGCCCUGGUGCUCUGGGAGGAGGAGAAGAGAUGAGACCCCCAUGAGCUUGCUGUGGCUGGGAUGGGGGUCCCUUCACGCAGGCGGAUGCAGUCUGGUCCCCAUGUCCUUGUUUCAUUCACUCCCCCGUUUAAGAGUUUCUAAAUGGAAUUCACUCUGGAAGUUGAUUUUCUGCACUACAGCCCAGAACCAUGCGCAGCGAAUGCCCCAGCACGUCUGGCAACCUGUUUUUAAGAUGCAAGUGUGGAAGCUUCUGUAAUUGCUCCUGUGUUGGUACAACUCCAGUGGAAUAUGAAUUGACAGUUUUGGUCAAUUAUAAGAGACCUAAGCUGAUCCCUGUGCUGAGGACAAGGUGAUGGACGGAUGUUAUGCUUCACAUCUACGUUUAGGCGCUUCACCUCAGAUAAUGCCAUUUUUGUGCUUAUUGUUAUCCGUGAGAUUAAACCUCUGCCACUGUCUGAUUUUGGAGACUGGUGAACAUCAGCCAUUCUUAGAGCCAGCAGAGCCAGAGUUACCUGUGGCUGCAGAGGGGAUUUGGGACAACGCAGCUAAGGAGAGCACAGCGAGCUUAACCUGCUUUCUGGGCUGACACACAGAAUGGCUUCCACUGAAAGUGUGUAUAGAAUCAGAGGGUUAUUCCAUACCUGUGGAAUCUGAUUGGACAACCAUCAUGGUGCCUAUGGGAUCUGUUCAGGCCACAUCUAUUAGGAACCUGGCCUGUGCAUCCCAGAAGACAGCAAGAGAUGGAUGGUGCUGGCAUGCGGCCACUUCGGAGAACAGAGCUGGAUCAGCCUGCUGAGGACAGGUGCAGACAAAUGGAACCUGCAGGACAAGCAUGCCAUUACCUUCUUUGCCAAAUUCAUUACAGAGAAGUUGCAAAGUUCCAGUAUGCUGUCCCUGAUCUUUGAGACAAAGCUGUCAGCUGGUUCGUGAAUAAUUCCAGGGCACGUUCAGGCAACUUGUUGGCUGGCACCCAGCAUGCUGCAGGUGAAGAUGGAAGCUCCAGCCCCAGGGAGGAAUAAUGCUAACCCCACAUCAGCGUCAGCUCCUCACACCAGGAGGGAUCACGUGCUUUGGGCUUCUCUCUGAGCCUGAUGGAAUCACUACAUCCUUCCUCAGCUGCUUCUCCAGCUUUCAGCUGCUCCAGGCUAUGAUGAGCCACUACUCAUGCCUGCCAGCAAUUUCAAAGGAUUUCUUGAACAUCAGUAUCAUUUGGGAUGCUUUUAUCUAAAGAUGUGCUGUCUACAAAAGGAAUCCUGACUGCCAGGGACUAACCUUCAGACCUUGGGUAAUGUGAACAUGAAGC